AAGGGCACCACAAGAACGCGUGGAGCAUGUGGCUUAAUUUGACUCAACGCGGGAAAUCUUACCGGGUCCGGACACACUGAGGAUUGACAGACAAAAUUUAUACACUCUUACGUGUAUAAUUCUUCACAAAUAUGCUAGUUCUUUCAUGAUUAUGUGAUAGGUGGUGCAUGGCCGUUCUUAGUUCGUGGAGUGAUCUGUCUGCUUAAUUGCGUUUCACUAUAUACGGACUGAUAUACUCAAAUUAUGCACUCAUACACCAAUACUCUCUUACGGGGGCAUAUAAGUGUGUAUAGUGUAUAUAUACAUACGGUCCUUUAGAAAGCAACGAACGUGACCGCAACCUCUUGUUGACUCGUUUAAACACUGGUGCGAGUAUGCAUAUAUGCUACAACUAGAGGGACCGCUGUUUCUUUCUUUAAACCAGAGGAAGGUUGCGGCAAUAACAGGUCUGUGAUGCCCUUAGAUGUUCCGGGCUGCACACGUGCUACAAUGAUCAUUGCAGUGAGCAUCUCAAACACACUCAUAGUCUCUUACGUCUUGUUACGUGCUUUGCAUGUAUGCAUGCGUAUAGACUUUUAGCCUACUUCGAUAGUACAGUGGGUAAUCAAUUAGAAGUAAUGAUUUCCUCGCGUUUAUAGCACACCGUAUACGCAUAUACACUCUCUCGCGUACAUGCUUAUCGCUGUUACGCAUAUGUGUGUUAUAUGACCGUAUGUGCAAUUGUCAAUUCAUGGUGGGGACAGACCAUUGUUAAUUGUUGGUCUCGGUCUUAACUAGGAAUGCCUUGUACGGGUCUUUGGUUCAACAAACCACCCGGAAUACGUCCCUGCCCUUUGUACACACCGCCCGUCGCUCUUACCGAUGGACUUCUCUGUGAGUUUGAGGGACUCACGUACGUUCAGGGAAACUCAAACGAACAGUGUGGUCUAAAGGAAAGAGAAGU
rnacentral:rRNA from 1 species